GGGCCAGUGGCGCAAUGGAUAACGCGUCUGACUACGGAUCAGAAGAUUCUAGAUUCUAGGUUCGACUCCUGGCUGGCUCG